rnacentral:rRNA from 1 species
UACGUAUGGGGCGAGCGUUGUUCGGAAUUAUUGGGCGUAAAGGGCGUGUAGGCGGUUUUAUAAGCCUGGUGUGAAAUCCCACAGCUCAACUGUGGAGACGCGCUGGGAACUGUAAGACUAGAGUUUAGGAGGGGAAGCUGGAAUUCCUGGUGUAGGGGUGAAAUCUGUAGAUAUCAGGAAGAACACCGAUGGCGAAGGCAAGCUUCUAGCCAUAGACUGACGCUGAGGCGCGAAAGCGUGGGGAGCGAACAGGAUUAGAUACCCCAGUA